rnacentral:rRNA from 1 species
UGGGGAAUAUUGCACAAUGGGCGCAAGCCUGAUGCAGCCAUGCCGCGUGUAUGAAGAAGGCCUUCGGGUUGUAAAGUACUUUCAGCGGGGAGGAAGGCGAUAAGGUUAAUAACCUUGUCGAUUGACGUUACCCGCAGAAGAAGCACCGGCUAACUCCGUGCCAGCAGCCGCGGCAAUACGGAGGGUGCAAGCGUUAAUCGGAAUUACUGGGCGUAAAGCGCACGCAGGCGGUCUGUCAAGUCGGAUGUGAAAUCCCCGGGCUCAACCUGGGAACUGCAUUCGAAACUGGCAGGCUAGAGUCUUGUAGAGGGGGGUAGAAUUCCAGGUGUAGCGGUGAAAUGCGUAGAGAUCUGGAGGAAUACCGGUGGCGAAGGCGGCCCCCUGGACAAAGACUGACGCUCAGGUGCGAAAGCGUGGGGAGCAAACA